rnacentral:rRNA from 1 species
GAUGAACUCUGGCGGCGUGCUUAACACAUGCAAGUCGAACGGGGAACAUUUUAUGGAAGCUUCGGUGGAAAUAGCUUGUUCCUAGUGGCGGACGGGUGAGUAACGCGUGGGUAACCUGCCUCACACUGGGGGAUAACAGUCAGAAAUGACUGCUAAUACCGCAUAAGCGCACGGGAUUGCAUGAUCCAGUGUGAAAAACUCCGGUGGUGUGAGAUGGACCCGCGUUGGAUUAGCCAGUUGGCAGGGUAACGGCCUACCAAAGCGACGAUCCAUAGCCGGCCUGAGAGGGUGGACGGCCACAUUGGGACUGAGACACGGCCCAGACUCCUACGGGAGGCAGCAGUGGGGAAUAUUGCACAAUGGGGGAAACCCCGAUGCAGCGACGCCGCGUGAAGGAAGAAGUAUCUCGGUAUGUAAACUUCUAUCAGCAGGGAAGAAAAUGACGGUACCUGACUAAGAAGCCCCGGCUAACUACGUGCCAGCAGCCGCGGUAAUACGUAGGGGGCAAGCGUUAUCCGGAUUUACUGGGUGUAAAGGGAGCGUAGACGGAGCAGCAAGUCUGAUGUGAAAGGCGGGGGCUCAACCCCCGGACUGCAUUGGAAACUGUUGAUCUUGAGUACCGGAGAGGUAAGCGGAAUUCCUAGUGUAGCGGUGAAAUGCGUAGAUAUUAGGAGGAACACCAGUGGCGAAGGCGGCUUACUGGACGGUAACUGACGUUGAGGCUCGAAAGCGUGGGGAGCAAACAAG